AUUGAACGCUGGCGGCAGGCCUAACACAUGCAAGUCGAGCGGAUGAAGGGAGCUUGCUCCUGGAUUCAGCGGCGGACGGGUGAGUAAUGCCUAGGAAUCUGCCUGGUAGUGGGGGAUAACGUCCGGAAACGGGCGCUAAUACCGCAUACGUCCUGAGGGAGAAAGUGGGGGAUCUUCGGACCUCACGCUAUCAGAUGAGCCUAGGUCGGAUUAGCUAGUUGGUGGGGUAAAGGCCUACCAAGGCGACGAUCCGUAACUGGUCUGAGAGGAUGAUCAGUCACACUGGAACUAAGACCCGGUCCAGACUCCUACGGGAGGCAGCAGUGGGGAAUAUUGAACAAUGGGCGAAAGCCUGAUCCAGCCAUGCCGCGUGUGUGAAGAAGGUCUUCGGAUUGUAAAGCACUUUAAGUUGGAAGGAAGGGCAGUAAGUUAAUACCUUGCUGUUUUGACGUUACCAACAGAAUAAGCACCGGCUAACUUCG
rnacentral:rRNA from 1 species